GACGAACGCUGGCGGCGUGCUUAACACAUGCAAGUCGAGCGGAAAGGCCCUGCUUUUGUGGGGUGCUCGAGUGGCGAACGGGUGAGUAACACGUGAGUAACCUGCCCUUGACUUUGUGAUAACUUCAGGAGACUGGGGCUAAUACCGGAUAGGAGCUCCUGCUGCGUGGUGGGGGUUGGAAAGUUUCGGCGGUUGGGGAUGGACUCGCGGCUUAUCAGCUGGUUGGUGGGGUAGUGGCUUACCAAGGGUUUGACGGGUAGCCGGCCUGAGAGGGUGACCGGCCACAUUGGGCCUGAGAUACGGCCCAGACUCCUACGGGAGGCAGCAGUGGGGAAUAUUGCACAAUGGGCGGAAGCCUGAUGCAGCAACGCCGCGUGCGGGAUGACGGCCUUCGGGUUGUAAACCGCUUUCGCCGGUGACGAAGCGUGAGUGACGGUAAUGGGUAAAGAAGCACCGGCUAACUACGUG
rnacentral:rRNA from 1 species